UUAGGGGUGAUACGGAACAGCACCAAAGGGUUAGUAACAGUGAGGAACUGUUUGCACUCCCAAGCCUGAAAGAGUGGAGUAGGGUGGGAUUACCUGGAAAGAGAGAGAGACAGAAGGAGAAUGAGACUGAGGGAAGGGCUGCCUGGCAGGGGAAGCUGACGCCUUCAGGCAAGUGAAGAAGGCAGCCCGCAGCAACUCUGCAGGGAAGAAUGUGGGGAAACAAAUGCCUUCAUCUCUCUCUUGUCCCACCCGCAGAGCUCCUUCUGGGAUUCUCUAUUGGCUGAACUCAGCCAGAAGCUGCCUAGGGAGACCCCCACAACUGGAUGCAGCCCACUGAAGUCAGCUUCCUGGAGUGCAUAGCCGAAGGUAGCAGGGUGCGAAAAGGAUCUGAAGGGACAAGUGAACAAUGUACAGCAUAUCUGUGCUGAAGACGUAAGGAGAGAGUGGAGGUCAGAAGCUGGCAGGGUCCCUGGUGCACGUGUCAGCUGCUAAAGAAGUGGAGAGUAUGAACAUAAGCAAGAGGAAGUGAUGAGUAUCCCCUCCUGGAGAAUUUUAAGAGCCAGUGAGUGAUUUGCUGGGCUCCCAAGCCCUCUGCUCUGAUGACAGCAAAGCCCCAAAUCAUGACGCCUCUAUCAGUCUGGACCCCUCAGCAGAGCCAGCUUCACAGGAACAAGCUGGAAAACCUCAUUGAGCCUGGGCUUCAGUAUUGAUACCGUUAUAGAAAUCGUGAGUCUCCACUGUGUUUUCUUUGAAAGAAGCAAGACUGACCUCCUUGGACCAGACUUUCUGGACAAUUUGCUGGCAGAGGAAGAGACAACAAGAGGAAAAAAGUGGACUUCCUGCACAAGGAAAGACCAUGUGAACACACAGGAAGAAUGUGGUGCUCUGCAAGUCAGAAACAGACCCUUCAUCACCAAAUCAGCCAGCACCCUGAUCUAGGAUUUCUGGCCUCCAAAAUGAAGGACACUGGGAGCCAUGGACAGCUCUAAACACGACGUGGCAUCCUCUCAAAGAGCUGAAUCCCCAACGCUCUCUAUCCUGUCUGCAGACACUUCUGAGCACCAGGACAUCCACUCAGUUCCCACUGACCCAGCGCUGAAUAAUAUUUCAUGGUCUGAAUGUACCACCGUUUACUCAUUCACCUACUGAAGGACAUCUCAGCUGCUUUCACAUUUUGCCAAUUCUGAAUAAAGCUUCUAUAAAUAUCCAUGUACAAGUUUUGUGUGAAAAGUUUCUACUCCCUCAGGUAAAUGCCAAGGAGUUUAAUUGGUGGAUUGUAGGAUAAAAGUAUGUUUUGUUUUGUAAGAAACAGCCAAACUGUCUUCCAAAGUGGCUGUAUCAUUUGCCUUUCCAUCAGCAAUGAAUGAGAGUUCCUGUUGCUCCAUAUAUCCUCACCAGCCUUUGGUAUUGUCAGUGUUUUGGAUUUGAGUCAUUCUAAUAGGUCUGUAGUAGUAUUUCAUUGUUGUUUUAAUUUGCAUUUCCCUGAUGACAUACUAUGCGGAACAUCUUUUCCUAGCUUAUUUCCCAUCUAUACCUUCUUUGAUGAGGUGUCUCUAAAGGUCUUCGGGCCACUUUUUAAUAGGGUUGUUUGUUGUCUUAUUGUCGAGUUUUAAGAGUCCUGUGUAUAUUUUGGAUGACAAUCCUUUAUCACCUAUGCGUCUUGCAAAUAUUUUCUCUAAGCUCUCUUAACAUUGUUUCUUGCAGGCAGAAAAUUUUAGUUUUAAUGAAAUGCCGCUUAUCAAUUAUUUCUUUCACGGAUUGUGCCCUUGGUGUUGUACUUAAAAAGUCAUCACCAAACCCAAGGUCAUCUAGAUUUUCUCCUGUGUUAUCUCUAGGAGUUUUAUAGUUUUGUGUUUUACAUUUAGGUCUGUGAUCUAUCUUGAGUGAAGGGUAAAAGAUUUGCACGUAGAUUGAUUUUUUUUUUUUUUUUUUUUUUUUGCAUGUGGAUAUCUUGUUGUUCCAACACCAUUUAUUGAAAAGAGUAUAUUUGCUCCAUUGCAAUGCCUUUGCUCAUUUUGUAAAGAUCAGCUAACUAUAUUUCCAUGAGUCUACUUCUGGGCUCUCUGUUCGCUUCCAUUGAUCUAGUUUUUUUCUUUCACCAAUACCAUACUGCCUUGAUCACUGUAGCUUAACAGUAAGUCUUAAAAGUCAGAUAGUGUCAGUUCUGUUUGUUCACCUUCAGUAUUGAGUUGGUUAUUCUGGGUCUUUUGCCUCUUCAUAUACAUUUUGGUUUUGUUGUUGUCUUUUCUUUUUCUUUUUGUA